CUCCCCCACAAGCAUGAUUAUGACUGAACCUGAACUCUUCUGUACUGCCACCAAUAUUGGGAUGACCCCAAGAUCAAUCACUCUAACAUGUAACAACAGGGGUAUCCCAAGCUGACUCAUAUGAGGCUUAGCCGCAUACAUCUAGCAAUAUAUAAUUCUUGCAAAUAGGGUGUAUAUCUCAGGGUCACUACAAUGACAGCUGUCCGUUAUAAUCUGAGCUAGUUCAAACAAUACUUCCAGCCUGGCACCUGCUCACUGAGUCCUACAACAGAAAUUCAUCAAAGUUAUCAACAUUCUUCUAAGUACAUAACAUAAUAUUUCAAUUUGCUACAAUCUUAUUCAGCAUGGCACUAGAAAGAUCAACACAGGAAGUACCUGCCUUCAAAACAUUUGCACAACCCUUUAUGUCAAUGACUCACCCUUGUCUUUAAAACCCCUCCAGUCAUCUCUCUCCAACAUCCACGCAUAAAAGUGAGUCGAUGAACCUACCAAGCCCAAUCCACAUCACAAGUAGAAGGGACUAAAGUCCCAAGAGAUCAGAAAAUCUUCUGAAAGCGAAUAGGAAGCACUUGCCUUCAAACAUUACAUAUUGGCAUGACAAGAUCACAGUCCAGUUUCUAAUAAUGUCCACUUCCAAAAUAUCCUAUUAUAACUCAACCUCC
rnacentral:lncRNA from 1 species